rnacentral:tRNA from 1 species
AAUGAUGUGCCUGAAUAAAGGAUUACCAUGAUAAGGUAAAUAAUGUAAAACAACUAAUAUACCUUCAUUU